rnacentral:lncRNA from 1 species
UGGAGUCCCUUUGGCUUUAAAUGAGAAAGUGUUCAGAAUAUCCCGUGACCUCAGAACAGUGCGUGUAAGGAGGGAGUACUGAGUUUUAAAGCAGCUCCAAUCCCCACAUAAGACAAAGCCUCUCUGAAAGCACUUCAGUCCCACCUGAAUCUUACUGCUGUACUGCUAAAGGUACAGGAAUGUGGAAUUGUACCUCUUCAAGGAUGACCACAGCCUGCACAAAAUACUCAUGUGAGUCUUGCAGGCACAUAAGCCCUGAGGCACUUACAUAAUAAUGAACUAUUGAAAGGGAGCCAAGACAUUAGUUUUCAGAGGAAAACAGUCAUGGGUUCUGUGAUCACGCUUUGUUUCUCACAAUGACUUUACUGUGAUGUGUAACAAGGGGCUGCUUUGAACUGCUUAACUGGUACAGAAAAAGUCAGCUGGAGAGGGUUUGCAUUGAAAAAUGAGAAACUAAUGUCCUCCUGCAAGCAUCUUGUGCCACUUGUCCUAUAGCAUUAUAAGACUCUGCCGCUCAAAAUCCAAGCAAACCACAGUCGCUUACCGUCACACGUUACAUCAGCCCUGACCUUAUCUGAGGUUCUUGUUUUUUUGUUUUUUUUAAGAUUUGUUUUUCAGUAUUGCCCCAGACAGUCUUCUGUAUCAUCUCCUUUUCCCUGCGCUGACCGCACGCUGGAGUCCUUCCAAAUCAGUUGACAUAACUGGCAUUUUCAACAGCAUCACGCGCUAGCUAGAUAUGUUGGACAGAAACAUUUUGCAACUGCAGUGAAACUUGCUCAGCCCUCUCUUGCUCUCCAUCAAGAAUGAGUUUAACCUGAAAUUCUGAGUUUGCCUUAAUGCUGGGAAGCAAGAAAUAUUCGUACACCUCACAAUAAGCAAGUCCAAAUUUGAGGAGAGUUUUUACAGCUACUGUAGCUAAAACUAACAGACAACUCUAUUUUGACAAGAUGGCCCUGCUUACUGAAUCAACCAUUAACUUCCAGGUUCCAAAAAUGGAAGGUUUAAUUAUUGAUCUUCCUUGUUUACAGUCCAGGUUGAUGUAAGAAUGCCAAGAAAGCCAUGAAAAAUUACACUCUUCCUGGAGGAUGAUCUGCAAAGAGAACCAAGCAAACAAACUACCCACCUCUUUCUGCCUUUCACAGGAAUGAAAUGAGCAAUUCAUAAUCCUCAAGUAGUCAGAGAGAUUUAGCAUUCCUCUUCCAUACCAAAAAUAUAUUUGGAAAUUGCCCCUUAGAUACCUUACAAAUCAAAUCUAAGCUACCUAGCAACUUCCUUUGCUGCAUU